AAAAUUCUCAAAUAUUAUGUCGAAUUGCUAAGUGGGGUGUGGAUCCUCUGGGACAAUAGGCUUGUUUUAGGAAAAACGACGUCGUUUAUUUUCGUUUUCCCAAGAAAUCUUCAAAUUUUCCCACAAAAUUCCCGAGAAAACAAGCACGUUCAAGAAAAGGACCAAGUUCCCACGUGCGACAAGUGCCACCCCGGAAGAGCAAUCCUCACCGAAUCCAGUUGCAAUAGGGCGCACUGCCUUCUAUCAGAGAAGGUACACUCGAUCAUGGGGGGAGCAGAGCACGGUCAUGGAGAGGCCCAUGGAGAUUUCAGAACCAAGGUCUGGAGCAUGACUGGUGGGCCGUACUGUAGGCCCAAGCACUGGAAGAGGAACACUGCCAUUGCUAUGGCUGGUGUUUUUCUUAUCUGCAUCCCCAUCGCCAUGAAAUCUGCUGAGCUCGAGCAACGGCCUCAUCAACCUAUUCGUCCAAUUCCUUCCCAGCUCUGGUGCAAGAAUUUUGGAAACAAGGAGUAUUAGAAGCCUCAACAAUCAUCUAGUUACAAACAAUUGGUGGUGGUUGGACCUCUAUAUCUUGCAGUCUGGGAAAGCAUUCCUCUAUCUUUUUUAUUGCAGAAAAUUUCAGCUGCCUCCUCAACUUGCUUUGCAUAAUGCUUUUUCAAGUUUGAAUGAUUGAAUCUACAACUUUAUUGGCUGGACUACUCUUAUUACCACAUCAUCCUCAUGAAAAUAAGUUACAAUGCCCCCUUGCUUCCAGUUUUCAUGAAAUAAAAUGUUGAAGAUGACAUUGUAAGUUUAAGUGAAACUUGUUCUCUGUUUCAA